GAAGUUGUCCAGGGCUCCCUGAGGGAGGCCAGCACAAGAGCUCUGCCAUAAAAGGACAUUGGACAGAAGUGAAGAGUCCAAUCAGAAACUCUUUUUGAGAGACUGAACGCAAAGCAUUCAGAGAGUCAGCAGGCUGGAGAGGCCAAGACACACACACGAAGAAGGCAAUUGAGAGCUGUACUAGCCUGGCAUGCAGACAGCAGCUUUAGAAUCAGAUCUGCCUUCUGGCGGCUUCCCACCUAGGAGCCAUGGGACCUUUGUGAAGUCACCAAUUGUGCUGUGGAUGCUUCAUUUGUGAAGGAGAACAGGACUGCCUUAUGAGGAAACUGAGGUACAGAUGGGAAACUUGCUCAAGUUCACACAGCAAUUAAGUGAUCAAGUCCAAGAGCAAAACCAGGCAGGCUGGCUCCAGAGCUCACGAUAGUCCACCACUGCUUUCCACCAUCACUACGGAAUCAAGUCCAUGAGGAUACUCACCUUAUGUCAGUUGCCUAAGUUGGAAAUUAUAGAAUCUUCAAAUUGGAAGGGACGUUAUCAUCCAAGAUUUCAACUUUCUAC
rnacentral:lncRNA from 1 species